rnacentral:lncRNA from 1 species
AGGAGAUCACAGCUGGGCAAAGGGUGAAAACAACGCUGGGAGGUCGAAAGGCUGCAGAACCCAUUACCCAUCUCCCGAUAGCCAUUCCGAUGGAAGGCCCUGACAAACGACUCCCUGCAAAGCCGGAUAAGCCCUCUGCAUCCAUCGGCUAAUGCCAGCUGUCGAGGAUGCCCUGAUGUCUGUUCUCACAUCACAUUGCGCUCCAAGUACCCCGGCUGCAACCAGAGCUCAGCAAACCGGGACCAGAGGGCACAUCCACCCUGCCUGCCCAUGUCAACAGAGUUGUGUGGGAGCCAGCCGGCCCCCAGGAAGACCCCAGAUCUUCCUGCCCCUGACCACAGCUCUGUCCCUGGAAGCAUAUGCUGCAGACACUUGCUCUGCUGCAGAUUUUCUGCACAACCCCUCCUCAUGGGGGAAGGUUUGGUACCUGAAUGAGGCCUCUUUUGACCUCUAUUCCUAUCACUAUUUUUGGUGACCUCAAUAUUUAUGAAGGUAAUAACUUGGUCUUUAAUCCAGACAAUUUUCACCUCCAGGAAUCUUGUCCUGCAUCUCACUUUUCUUCUUGAGUCCUGUGGUCAUCACCAAAACCUGUCCCUCCUUGGAAACCUCAGUUUAAGCAUCCCACUGUCCGAGGGUACCUCUUUCCUUCCAUUGCCUCAGUUUCAGGUGUCCAGUCCAUGGCGCCCCCCGUCUUUGCCCAGUCACCAUGUCCAGUCGACUGUGCUCCCAUCUUUACCCAGCCACUGUGUCCAGUCCAUGGUGCCCCCAUCUUUGCCCAGCCACCACCUCGUCUGACUCCCCGUCCUCCCCUUGGUGCUGGGCUCCUGCCUGUCCCUCCUCUGUCAAGUGCACCUGGACCUGGGAGUGACCUUGGAGUGACCUUGACCCUGGCAGCUCCAACUCUCAACCCGUCAGCCAGGCUCCUUGAAACCUGGCUGGAGGGAAACGGCAAACCCUGCCACCUGGAGUCGCCUAAAAUUCGCAGCCACGGUCCUCCAACAGGCCCCACGCUUCCCGCCAGUCCAGCACAUUU